UACGGGGGGGGGCAAGCGUUGUUCGGAAUUACUGGGCGUAAAGGGCUCGUAGGUGGCCAACUAAGUCAGACGUGAAAUCCCUCGGCUUAACCGGGGAACUGCGUCUGAUACUGGAUGGCUUGAGUUCGGGAGAGGGAUGCGGAAUUCCAGGUGUAGCGGUGAAAUGCGUAGAUAUCUGGAGGAACACCGGUGGCGAAGGCGGCAUCCUGGACCGACACUGACGCUGAGGAGCGAAAGCCAGGGGAGCAAAACGGGG
rnacentral:rRNA from 1 species